rnacentral:rRNA from 1 species
UACGUAGGUGGCAAGCGUUAUCCGGAAUUACUGGGCGUAAAGCGCGCGUAGGCGGUUUUUUAAGUCUGAUGUGAAAGCCCACGGCUUAACCUGGGAGGGUCAUUGGAAACUGGAAAACUUGAGUGCAGAAGAGGAAAGUGGAAUUCCAGGUGUAGCGGUGAAAUGCGCAGAGAUAUGGAGGAAUACCAGUGGCGAAGGCGACUUUCUGGACUGUAACUGACGCUGAGGUGCGAAAGCGUGGGGAGCAAACAGG